CUUUUUAGACUACUAAGUCUACUGAAUAUUUUUAUUGUAAAAACAGUUAUUCAAAAUUUUUAGGCGGCGGAUGGUUUACCAUUUUUAGAAAAUAGUGAAUGAUUCAUCGCUUUCACAUAUAUAACUUAUAUGUUUUUUACAUUUGAACUCGAAAAAUAAUUUUAUUACUUUGCAGAAAACAGUGAGUGAUGCGGUAAUUCAUUCACCGCAUAUAACUAAUUUUGUAAAUAACUUUCUUACAAAAU
rnacentral:lncRNA from 1 species